UACGAAGGGGGCUAGCGUUGUUCGGAUUUACUGGGCGUAAAGGGCGCGUAGGCGGUUCUACAAGUCAGAAGUGAAAGCCCUGGGCUUAACCCGGGAAUUGCUUUUGAAACUAUAGGACUAGAGUAGGGGAGAGGUGAGUGGAAUUCCCAGUGUAGAGGUGAAAUUCGUAGAUAUUGGGAAGAACACCAGUGGCGAAGGCGGCUCACUGGACCCUAACUGACGCUGAGGCGCGAAAGCGUGGGGAGCAAACAGG
rnacentral:rRNA from 1 species